GACGAACGCUGGCGGCGUGCUUAACACAUGCAAGUCGAACGAUGAAGUUCCUUCGGGAAUGGAUUAGUGGCGAACGGGUGAGGAACACGUGAGAAACCUGCCUUUCAUUUUGGGAUAACUCCGGGAAACCGGGGCUAACACCGAAUACUCCGUCUCGGCGGCAUCGCUGAGCCGGGAAAAAAUUUUGAUGAAAGAUGGUCUCGCGGCCUAUCAGCUAGUUGGUGAGGUAAUGGCUCACCAAGGCAACGACGGGUAGCCGGCCUGAGAGGGCGACCGGCCACACUGGGACUGAGACACGGCCCAGACUCCUACGGGAGGCAGCAGUGGGGAAUAUUGGGCAAUGGGCGCAAGCCUGACCCAGCGACGCCGCGUGAGGGAUGAAGGCCUUCGGGUUGUAAACCUCUUUCAGUAGGGAGGAAGCGAAAGUGACGGUACCUAAAGAAGAAGCACCGGCUAACUAUGUGCCAGCAGCCGCCGUAA
rnacentral:rRNA from 1 species